ensembl:miRNA
AGAAAGUUCAUUUAGGUUUUUCUAUAGGAUGCUGUGGAAAAACUUGAACGGACUUUUUGGC